CCUACGGGGGGCAGCAGUGAGGAAUAUUGGUCAAUGGCCGGAAGGCUGAACCAGCCAUGCCGCGUGAAGGUCAGUGCCCUAUGGGCGUUAAACUUCUUUUGUGCGGGAGCAAUAAUGGUCACGUUUGGCCAGACGAGAGUACCGUACGAAUAAGCAUCGGCUAACUCCGUGCCAGCAGCCGCGGUAAUACGGGGGAUGCAAGCGUUAUCCGGAUUUAUUGGGUUUAAAGGGUGCGUAGGCGGCCUUUUAAGUCAGCGGUGAAAGUCUGUGGCUCAACCAUAGAAUUGCCGUUGAAACUGGGGGGCUUGAGUAUGUUUGAGGCAGGCGGAAUGCGUGGUGUAGCGGUGAAAUGCUUAGAGAUCAUACAGAACACCGAUUGCGAAGGCAGCUUACCAAGCUACUUCUGACGUUGAGGCACGAAAGCGUGGGGAGCAAACAGGAUUAGAUACCCCUGUAGUC
rnacentral:rRNA from 1 species